AGGAAGCCGACUCCUAGUGGAGAGUAGGCCGAACUCAACCGAAGAGAGCCGAGUCCGAGAGGACGGCAGCCAGCCGAACGUAGCCGAGGAGAGCUGAGACUGAGAUGAUCGUGGGCCGAACGCAGCCGAAGAGGAGCCGAGGCCACGACAGGCGCGCUCUCAGAAAGCCGAAGAGAGCCGAGCCUGAGAAGGCAAGCGUUGGCCGAACUCAGCCGAAGAAGAGCCGAGUGGAGCCGAAGAUUCAUGGAGUCACCUGUAGGGGCUGGCGCCCCCUGUCGGUGUAGCUUGCAGAUAUCAGGCUCCAUUCACGUCUCUUUUGAGUUUCCACAUCCCCUGGCACCCUAGCCUCAAGCUGCCAAAAAGCAAGGGAAGGGGAAGUAAGCCUAAGGAGCUUAAUCCCCCGACAUCGACAGUUGAAAAAGUUACUGGUCAAUAUUCCAAAUGCGCCAAGAGAUGUUGAUAUGUUGCCCAGGCUGGAGUGCAGUGGCUGUGGAAUAAGCAGAAUCAUUUACUGACUUCAGACCUCUGUUUGCCUCCCAAAGACUUCAAUACAAUAAACUAUUUUUAAAAAUCCCUCCUUCCACUAGAGGGACACCUCCCGCAGUGUUUGUUCUAUACCUAGAAAUGCCUGAUAGUUGAACUAGUAGAGGAAUUGUUUUGUAUAGAAACCCCCCACCUUUGUUAUUAGAA
rnacentral:lncRNA from 1 species